rnacentral:lncRNA from 1 species
AAAUGUCAAAUAUUUCUGCACACAAUUGCAUUAAAAAUGUGCAUUUUUUCACAGCUCUACCAUCAUGUGCACUGCUUUAUAUUCCUUGCUAACCAGUACUGAUUGCCAAGAUAUUCAUAUGUACAAAGACUUCAACACAAAGAGCGUAACAAGAUCUAGCAGAGGUACAGAAGCAACAGUACAUCAGUGGAGUACAAGUGCAGAGCUUCCUCUACAGAAAGUUGGUUUAAUGGUUACUGAAAAUAAAAAACAGUUGAUUGACAUAAUCUGUACAGAACUCAUUUAGGAUAAGAAGUUUCACCAACGACACACAUUAAAGCUAGUCAUCACAGGCAGAGGCAACAUCCCAACUGAAAAAAACCAGUGAGGUGUGGUGAUCAACUAAGAUAUUAUGUCCAACUCAAAAGAGAAAGCCAAAACAUCCUUGUACAACAAAUGUGAUGUUUGUAAAAGACAGCAUAGCGGGGACACCAAUAUUAUUAUAUGACUAUGAAGAUUUUGUCUUACUCUUGCACCAUUACCUUGAGCAGGACCUAACAUCUUAAGUGACUAUGGAACCCACAGUCCAAGAGAGAACUGUAAUAGGCAUUGGUGCUACUGUAGAUCAACACCAGAGCAUUGUUCCAGGACUAUUAGCUGCCCAGGCACUCUCAGGGUGUGAUACAGUAGCUUCCUAUUGUGGCUUCAGCAAAGGCACUGGGUUGAAGAUUCUGUGACCUGGAUACUCCCUCUCUGUCUGUUGGUGACAACAGAGCAGAGAUGCCUGAUGUCAUUGAGGAAGCAACCAAAUUCUGCUGCAUGCUAUGGACAAUCAGGUUGUGCCACAAUGCCAGAAGCACAUCAGAAAUCGUGGUCAGCAAAAAUUUGCAAAAAGUGCACAUCAACAUUAGAGCUUAUCUCCUAAUCACCAACAACUGAAACAUUAUAUAUAAAUAUAAAAUGAGCAUGUCUUCAGGCAAGCAUAUGCAAAAGUGCUUUGGAUCUGGAUAAUCCACUGAAAUAUAGAUGGAUAUGGAAUGGCAGUUCCAAGUCUGUGUUUCCAAAAAUUGUACCAAAGGUGCAUUUGCCCCUCCAGAUAUUAUGAAGUUAAUCAAGUGCUCUUUUAAGAAUGAUGCACCUGGUAAAUUUAUAAGAUGUGUAUGUAACCAUACCAAAUUGCAUUACUAUACUCUGUGCAUGCCAAGGAGGUGUGGUAUAUUGCA